UGUGAAGCCCAGACGUAAGAGAGAGAACAAAGGCUAAACCUGGUCUUAACUUCCAAUGCUCCAUCCCCUGCCCAACCCCCCUCCACACCACUCUGCCAACCGCCAGGAUGCCCGGCAUCAGAACAUUCCAGGCAUUCCCGUGUUUGGCAGAUAGCAGGUUGAUUGGAAUGUCGGACCCCGCGAACACUGGGUACUGACUUCAGAAAUAUCGAGUUAACGUGUAGACUCAGAGGGAGCAAAGCAGAACAUUGCAGGUACCCUUCCUUGCGAGGCAUUGGAAAACCUCCCUGAUCAUUGUGUUUGAAAUUCACUGCUAGACUGGGGGACCAUACAGAUAAUGUGGGGUACAGAGAUGGAGUCAUUAAAAAAAUCAUGUUAAAC